rnacentral:lncRNA from 1 species
AGAUAAAAGAGGCUAACAGAAAUUGAUCGUUAACGGAUUUUUUUCGAGUGUAAAAGAGAAGGAAAUCCAGACUCUGUACAUAUAUAGACAGAUGGAUUUGUACGUAUAUCCCUAUAACCUAUAGGGUGAAGCUUUUAAUCUGAAUAUACGCAGAUACAGACCCUGAUCAUCAACCGUUGGGGUCAUACAAUCAUAUAUAUAAGAAAAACGAGGGAAAAUUCCUUCGGGUUCAGCCGGCAAAAGUCGCCGGGCUCAUUUUUCAACUAAUUGCCCAUCCAGAUCUGGU